GUUGAUGAUCUGAAUUGCUUCAAAUGGGCAUUUCUUAACACAUAUACCACAUCCAAUGCACAACUCCUCAGAGAUGAAAGCUAUCUUAGAAGCGGGAGUAACCUCAAUACACAAUUUCCCAGUUUUGACAACAGGGCAACUCUUUUUGCACUCUUGACGGCACUUCUUGGGUUUGCAUCUAUCAGAGCUCACAAUUGCAAUACGCGUCAACCUGUCUGCCAUCUCUCCCUCUCCUUUCUUUCUUU
rnacentral:misc_RNA from 1 species